GAAAGAUGGGACCCCCCAGCCGUUGGAUUCCGCUUGUGCAGCGAUCACUUCAUAUCAGGGAGAAAGAGUGAUAAUCCCUUGAGUCCGGACUUUGUUCCAUCUAUUUUCAACUACGUGCCAUCUCCAGAGAAGAAAAAUGAGACUGGAGGUUUUCAACAGACGACAGAAAGCAAAGCUACAGAAGAUAGCUUUGUCUGCUCUAUCUGCAAAAGCCAUCCCUCUCAGAGCAUCAACCGAUUGUCCCCAAGACGGCAACAAGGACCCUACUGCAGACCAAACUCCCACCACAGAGCCUUUUGAAUCUACCCAUGAAGAACCUGGAAAUGAUGUCCAGCCUGUUCUCCAUGAGGAUGAUCCAGCAACUCCACCAUGCAGCACUGAAACCUGCGGUAAACGCAUCCAAUCUCUUGAGCAAGAAUGCCAAGCUUUGAGGACUGAGAAUAUGUUGUUGAAAGAAAAAAUUAAUAGGACUACACUGAAUGAGAUGAGCUUGCAUAACGAUGAUAAAAGAGUUAAUACUCUCACUGGUUUAUCAACAUAUUCAAUUCUCAUGGCAAUUUUUGAUAUUGUGGCUCCUUUCCUCAAACUUAAAUCUGGUUUAACAUGUUUUCAGCAGUACAUGUUAACUUCAAUAAAGCUCAGAAUUAACUUGUCCUUUGAAUUUUUGGCUUUUUAUUUUGGCAUUGACUCAACCACUGUUUCAAAGCUCUUCAAACAUUGUAUUAGUGUGAUGCAUUGUAGACUGGUGCCAAGUCUUGUGUUGUGGCCUGACAGAGAAUACUUAAGAAAAUCUCUUCCAAAUGC